AUUGAACGCUGGCGGCAUGCUUUACACAUGCAAGUCGAACGGUGACAGGGUGCUUGCACCGCUGACGAGUGGCGAACGGGUGAGUAAUGCGUCGGAACGUGCCGAGUAGUGGGGGAUAACGCAUCGAAAGGUGUGCUAAUACCGCAUACGUACUGAGGUAGAAAGUGGGGGACCUUCGGGCCUCACGCUAUUCGAGCGGCCGACGUCUGAUUAGCUAGUUGGUGAGGUAAAGGCUCACCAAGGCGACGAUCAGUAGCGGGUCUGUGAGGAUGAACCGCGAAACUGGGACGGGGACACGGACCAGACUCCUACGGGAGGCAGGAGUGGGGAAUUUUGGACAAUGGGCGCAAGCCUGAUCCAGCCAUGCCGCGUGUCUGAAGAAGGCCUUCGGGUUGUAAAGGACUUUUGUCCGGGAGCAAACACCCAGUGCUAAUAACGCUGGGGGCUGAGAGUACCGGAAGAAUAAGCACCGGCUAACUACGUGCCAGCCGCCGCAGUAA
rnacentral:rRNA from 1 species